rnacentral:rRNA from 1 species
UGAGGGACGAAGGUCUUCGGAUUGUAAACCUCUUUCAGCAGGGACGAAGCGAAAGUGACUGUACCUGCAGAAGAAGCACCGGCUAACUACGUGCCAGCAGCCGCGGUAAUACGUAGGGUGCAAGCGUUGUCCGGAUUUAUUGGGCGUAAAGAGCUCGUAGGCGGUUUGUCGCGUCGGAUGUGAAAACCCAAUGGCUUAACCUUGGGCCUGCAUUCGAUACGGGCAAACUAGAGUGUGGUAGGGGAGACUGGAACUCCUGGUGUAGCGGUGGAAUGCGCAGAUAUCAGGAAGAACACCGAUGGCGAAGGCAGGUCUCUGGGCCAUAACUGACGCUGAGGAGCGAAAGCGUGGGGAGCGAACAGGAUUAGAUACCCUGGUAGUCCACGCCGUAAACGGUGGGCGCUAGGUGUGGGGAUUGUUUCCACGAUCUCCGUGCCGUAGCUAACGCAUUAAGCGCCCCGCCUGGGGAGUACGGCCGCAAGGCUAAAACUCAAAGGAAUUGACGG